rnacentral:rRNA from 1 species
UACGAAGGGGGCUAGCGUUGUUCGGAAUUACUGGGCGUAAAGCGCACGUAGGCGGACUACUAAGUCAGGGGUGAAAUCCCGGGGCUCAACCCCGGAACUGCCUUUGAUACUGGUAGUCUCGAGUCCGGAAGAGGUGAGUGGAAUUCCGAGUGUAGAGGUGAAAUGCGCAGAUAUCAGGAGGAACACCAAUGGCGAAGGCAGCUCACUGGGACGGUAUUGACGCUGAGACGCGAAAGCGUGGGGAGCAAACAGG